rnacentral:tRNA from 1 species
GAGGGUACAGCACAGCGGUGGCACACGUGCCUGGCAAGCAUGAGGUCCUGGGCUCAAUCCCCGGUACCUCCA